ACCCGCUGAAUUUAAGCAUAUCAAUAAGCGGAGGAAAAGAAACUAACAAGGAUUCCCCUAGUAACGGCGAGUGAAGUGGGAAAAGCUCAAAUUUAAAAUCUGGUGGUUUUAGUGUAUGAGUUGUGUUAUCUAGAAAUGUGUUAUGCGCUGGAGAACGUAUGAAUCUGUCGUAAAAUGGGGUGUUAUAGAGUGAGAAAAUCGUGUAUGAUAUGGAGUCUAACAGCUUUGUGAUAUAUAUUCUAUGAGAGUAGUUGUGUGGGAAUGUGGAUCACAUAGUGUGUGUAUAUAUCAUAUAUAGAUAUAUAUAUGGGAGAGAGAGAUAUAGAGAAAAUAUAGUGAGAGGAAAGAUAAAAAAGAAUUUGGAAAGAGAAUUAACAGUAGUAUGAUAAUAGNGUAAAGGGAGAAAGCUUGAAAUAAUACGUGCGUGAGGCAGUGCAUCAAGCUUAGUGUAUGUGAGUGUUAAUUCAUGCCAUGAUGGGUCAUCAUGAGUCGGAGUUAGGUGAAAGGAAGGUAGAGAUAUGUGGGUCGUGUGAUUGUGUCAUACUGUAUAAUAAUAGAGAGAGCGUGGAACUGAGUGAGUCACAAGGGAGAUGGAGUCGUAGAAUGCUGCACUUAUGAUGUUAGGCGAAAUGUCUUGAAACGAGGAGUAUUGAAAAUCAGUACUAGGAG
rnacentral:rRNA from 1 species